GGCAGGACGACCGGGCCUGGUGAAAAAUUCGAUAUUCUGAAGUCGCCAAAACAAUAUGAUGCAAAAUGGCUCCAUAGCGCCCCCUCAGGUGAAAAUUCACACUAUUGACUGUCACGCCUGUACGCUUUGUCAAAACGACACAAAAAUUGACACACACAUGUAUCUCAAUAAGAUCUACAAAAAAGUCAGUGCGGGCGUAUCUGUCAAAUGUACGGUUAAAGGGUUAUUUCGCAUUUUUUGCCGAUCCGCACACAUUGGAAUUUCGCUAACUCCUCCGAAGGCUUUCGUUCCACCGGCACCACAUUUGCUCAGGCCAAUCUACAACCCAUGGCCAUUAAAAGUUGCACAAAUCAUGAUGCUGCACCCCACGGUUUAGGUUCUAGGGGGCGCCAAAAAUAACGCAAAAAUCCACAUUCUUAAAAGUCUUAUAACUUUUUAUUUUUGUCCUCACUGGCCUCCAAGUUUUCUAGGAUGAUGCAAUGUCCAGCCAUCAACACAUUUGUGAAGGAAUUUUUACUCCCCAAAAGAGCGCCCCCCCAUGGCAGGAGAAAAAAGUCCAUUUUUUCUUGUCCCCUAAGGUGAAAAUUCACACUAUUGAGUGUCACGCCUGUACGCUUCGUCAUAUUGACACAUAAUUUGACAAUCACGUGUAUCUCAAUAAGAUCUACGAAAAAGUCAGUGUGGGCAUAUCUGUCAAAUGUACGGUUAAAGGGUUAUUUCGCAUUUUUUGCUGAUCCGCACACAUUGGAAUCACGCUAACUCCUCCUAAGGCUUUCGUUCCACCGGCACCAAAUUUGCUCAGGCCAAUCUACACCCCAUGGCCAUUAAAAGUUAUACAAAUCAUGACGCUGUACCCCACAGUUUAGGUUCUGGGGGCGCCAAAGAUUACCCAAAUAUUCAUAUUCUUAAAAGUCUUAUAACUUUUUAUUUUUGUCCUCACUGGCCUCCAAGUUUUGUAGGAUUAUGCAAUGUCCAGCCAUCAACACAUUUGUGAAGGAAUUUUUUCUCCCCAAAAGAGCGCCCCCCCAUGGCAGGCGAAAAAGUCAAGUUUUUCCUGCCCAUUGCUCAAUGGCUCAAACAUCGCUCUCUCGGCAAAACCGAAAGGAGGAGCAACUUGCCAUUUGGAUAUAUACUAGCUGUGUUUCUGCCCUCACUCAUGGUUCAGACUUUUUCAAA